UACGUAGGGGGCGAGCGUUGUCCGAAGUUACUGGGCGUAAAGCGCGUGUAGGCGGUUGUUCAAGUCAGGUGUGAAAGCCUUGAGCUCAACUCAAGAAAUGCACUUGAUACUGGAUACUAGAGGACCGGAGAGGAUAGUGGAAUUCCCAGUGUAGUGGUGAAAUACGUAGAGAUUGGGAAGAACACCAGUGGCGAAGGCGGCUAUCUGGACGGUUUCUGACGCUAAGACGCGAAAGCGUGGGAGCAAACAGG
rnacentral:rRNA from 1 species